UUACCCUUCCAGACCGUGUGGGGUACUGAAUGCACCGGGAGAGAGAAAAGGCAGUCCCGCCUUCUCGGGGACAGGUCUGGAGCCUCACGUUCCGGCUCCGCGGGUUGCGCAGGGGCGGGAGGGGUUAGGUGUGCCCGCCUCCUUCAGGCCAGAGCCGCGCCGGUUACCUGCGACAGCACUCCCGGACAAGGGACGGCGAGCUCGGCGGCACCCGGGGGGUGUGUGUGUGUGGGGCCUCCUAGGCCGACGAGCAGACCUAGAGGGCGCUGGGGAAGCUACCUUGAAAACGAUGAGGGGGGGCAGGGAGGGACCCCACCGACAGAACGGUUAGUCCCGAAGCGCCGCACCUGGCGGACUGACCGGAGCCACCAGGGCGAGCGCGUGCGCGCACACCGGCACGCUCGCCCACCCCGGCACGCGCACGCGUCCCGAGACGGGGUGGUGCUGCUGCUGGUGGGAAAAAAAGCCCCCGUCCCUCGACCCCCCGCAUCCACCUCGCAGGCCCGAGUCCGCCCGAGAGCCAGCGAACGAGCGAGCGAGCGAGCGAGCGAGCGAGAGCGCGUGCGCGCCGCGGCUGCCCGGCGCGGAGGAAGGGGGUGGGGUUGUCUAGCGCGCGGCUCCGGUCUUCCCGCCCCUCCCCAGGCUCGCGGGCGCGGGGCUAACAGACUCCAGCCGUGUGGAGGGAGCCGGGCGACCGUUCCCAGAGCGGAGGGAGAAGGCGGACGCGGCUGGGGAGAAAGGGGCAAACCGGUCGAGCCGGGUGAAGAGCGGGGCUCGCGGGCUGGAGCCGGCGCAAGACACGCCUCCCUGCCUCACGCCCCUCGCUCGGGGCUGCGGAAGUCCUCCGGAGACCGGCGCGUCCUGGGGACUACCGUUCCCAGAAGGCAGCGCGGUGGUCCGCCUACGACUCCCGGCAGCCCCCGCGCGCCUGGCUCGCCGGCUCUCUGGCUCUCUCGCUCUCCCCCCCCCCCCACCUCCAGCGCGCUGCUUGGCGCUGGAGAAACUACAGUUCCCACGAGGCCUCGCGCCAAGCGGCUUGGAAGUGGGCAGCCUGGAAGUCACUCGGGCCACCGGAGCUGGCGGCGUCUCUAG
rnacentral:lncRNA from 1 species